UAGCGUCUCUCUCUCUGAUCAUCAGUAGGUGGAGAAAUGGAGAUGGAGCAAACGGAGAAGGAGGCGAUAAGAGCGGCUUCAGCUGAGGUUUCUCGUGAAUUCAAAACCCUUAUCAAUGCUGACGAUUUGGACAUCUCUCUCUCUCUCAGUCUCUCUCUUGGAGCAUGAAAUUAAGGAUUUUGGCUACCUAUCCGGAUGCAUUUCCAGAUGAUUCAACAGGAGAAGUAGUUGACAGGAGACUGGACCUUGAAAUUCCUCAGUAACAUUAGUCAGUCUGUUCUCAAAUUGCAGCAUGUAUCUUGGUACCAACGGUUUGGUGUUGUUGGCACCUGAGAAGCUCAUUGCUUAGAAGCUUGUGGAAGAGGAGGCCAAACAGAAGUUCAAGUGGGAGUCCAAGAAGGAAAAAUACUUGGUAACAAGUCUCAUACUGGACUGUAUUGUUCAAGAGCUACAGCUGCAUUAAGGUUGCACCAAUUAAAUGCUACUGAAUUUAGAGAUACAAUAAUUAUUGAUGUACUGUAAUAGUUAGCUAGUAGAGAUUAGCAAAUAUUAAGGUAGUUGGCAUUUAAUAGGAUUACUGUUUUUUCUUGAUCAAAAGAAAUCAUUUUCAGUUCAUGCUUUAGGUAGAGACUUGGCAGUGCAUAAAGAUUGAAGAAUGUCUUGAUUUGGUCCGAUGAAAGUUUUGGUUUUA